rnacentral:rRNA from 1 species
UUUAUGGAGAGUUUGAUCCUGGCUCAGGAUGAACGCUGGCGGCGUGCCUAAUACAUGCAAGUCGAGCGAACGGACGAGAAGCUUGCUUCUCUGAUGUUAGCGGCGGACGGGUGAGUAACACGUGGAUAACCUACCUAUAAGACUGGGAUAACUUCGGGAAACCGGAGCUAAUACCGGAUAAUAUUUUGAACCGCAUGGUUCAAAAGUGAAAGACGGUCUUGCUGUCACUUAUAGAUGGAUCCGCGCUGCAUUA